rnacentral:rRNA from 1 species
AUUGAACGCUGGCGGCAGGCCUAACACAUGCAAGUCGAACGAGUGGCGGACGGGUGAGUAAUGUCUGGGAAACUGCCUGAUGGAGGGGGAUAACUACUGGAAACGGUAGCUAAUACCGCAUACCAUCAGAUGUGCCCAGAUGGGAUUAGCGUGUUGGUGGGGUAACGGCUAACCAAGGCGACGAUCCCUAGCUGGUCUGAGAGGAUGACCAGCAAGACUGAAGCUGAGACACAGUCCGGAGUCCUACGGCAGGCAGAAUUGGGGAAUGUUGCACAAAGGGCGCAAGCCUGAUGCAGACAUGCCGAGUGUAUGAAGAAGGCAUUCGGAUGGUAAAGUACUUUCAGAGAGGAGGGGUUACUCGCAGAAGAGGCACCGGCUAACUCCGUGCCAACAGCCGCGGUAAUUC